rnacentral:rRNA from 1 species
GAUGAACGCUAGCGGCAGGCCUAACACAUGCAAGUCGAGGGGUAGAAGCUUUCGGGCUUUGAGACCGGCGCACGGGUGCGUAACGCGUAUGCAAUCUGCCUUGUACUGAGGGAUAGCCCAGAGAAAUUUGGAUUAACACCUCAUAGUAUUUUAGUGUGGCAUCACAUUAUUAUUAAAGGUUACGGUACAAGAUGAGCAUGCGUCCCAUUAGCUAGUUGGUAUGGUAACGGCAUACCAAGGCUACGAUGGGUAGGGGUCCUGAGAGGGAGAUCCCCCACACUGGUACUGAGACACGGACCAGACUCCUACGGGAGGCAGCAGUGAGGAAUAUUGGUCAAUGGUCGCAAGACUGAACCAGCCAUGCCGCGUGCAGGAUUAAGGUCCUCUGGAUUGUAAACUUCUUCUAUAAGGGACGAAAAAAGGUCUUUCUAGAUCGUCUGACGGUACCUUAUGAAUAAGCACCGGCUAACUCCGUGCCAGCAGCCGCCGUAAAAC